rnacentral:SRP_RNA from 1 species
GCCAGGUGCUGUGGCCCGUGUCUGUAGUCCCAGCUACUCGGGAGGCUGAAGCUGGAGGAUCGCUUGAGGCCAGGAGUUCUGGGCUGUAGUGCGCUAUACGGAUCGAGUGUCCGCACUAAGUUCGGCAUCUAUAUGGUGGCCUCCCGGGAGCGGGGAACCACCAGGUUGCCUACGGAGGGGUGGACUGGCCCAGGUCGGAAAUGGAGCAGGUCAAAACUCCCAUGCUGAUCAGUAGUGGGAUCGCGCCUGUGAAUAGCCACUGCACUCCAGCCUGAGCAACAUAGAGAGACCUGUCUCUU